GAUGAAGAACGCAGCGAAAUGCGAUAAGUAAUGCGAAUUGCAGAAUUCAGUGAGUCAUCGAAUCUUUGAACGCACAUUGCGCCCUGUGGUAUUCCGCAGGGCAUGCCUGUUCGAGCGUCAUUUCAACCCUCAAGCUCUGCUUGGUGUUGGGCCCUGCCCGCUGCGGCCGGCCCUAAAGACAGUGGCGGUGCCGCCUGGCCCUGAGCGUAGUACAUCUCUCGCUCCAGUGCCCGGUGGUAGCCUGCCAGAACCCCAACUCUCGUGGUUGACCUCGGAUCAGGUAGGGAUACCCGCUGAACUUAAGCAUAUCAAUAAGCGGAGGU
rnacentral:misc_RNA from 1 species